UCUGUGUGGGCGCGUGUUUGGGGUUUCUGUCUGUGGCCCAAGUCCUCUUCUCAUAAAGACAUUAGUCAGUGGAUUGUCGCCCAUUCUGAGGACCCCGCUUUAAUUUAAUUUGCUGUUUAAAGGUUUUCAAACACAAUCACAUUCUGAGGACCCGGGGUUAGGACUUUAACAUAUGCAUUCAGCCCAUAACAUUUUCUCUAGUACAGUGUUUUCUUCUUGGAAGUUCACGAAGUUCAACUGUAUAUGAUUGAUAACCAGAGUCUUAAAAAAUAUUCAGUAUGCAUCUCUCACAUACCCACCAUUUUAUACAUUAUUAUUUUUAAAAAAUAUGUUUUUACUGAUCUCAGAGGGGAAGGGAGAGGGAGAGAGAGCUAGAAACAUCAAUGAUGAGAGAGAAUCACGCCCCGCAUUGGGGAUCAAGCCCCACAACCCAGGCAUGCGCCCUUGACUGGAACUGAACCUGGGACCCUUCAGUCUGCAGGCCAAUGCUCUAUCCACUGAGCCAAACCAGUAGACAUUCUGAUAAUCCUAAACUGUCAUCUUUCAGACACUGGCUGAUAAUAUUGCACUAUCCUGUGGAAAUCCUCUGCCGGCUGGUGCUGGCAGCCAGGACGGGCAGAUGGAUGUGCGAUGGAGGAGACCAAGCACAACCUGGAAUGGAGUGUCUCCCGUCAGAGCCCGUGUUGGUCUCACCACCUCCAGCCCUUGAACUUUAAAGAUUCUUGGGGAGGAAAGAGCGGAGCGGUGGAUGCCACUGGGGUUUGCUAGGCGGCCGGCAAGGAUCCGUCCAGGAAGGUGUGGGCAGGUGGGAGUGGGUCACUGGCCUUGCACAGGCAGCUCGUUCUGCAGUGGCAGCUGAAGAAAGAGCCCCCGCCACACCCUCGCUCCAGGCUCUGGGCUCCAUUCUGAAGAAUUCCUGUGGCUCUGGCCUUGCAAGAAUUUUCAGAGUCAGACCCUACAUUCCCACCCAGUCUUCAGCCGAGAGAAGUCUCACUGCUGCCUCGGCACCUGGGAAGCAGGUGGUUCUGUCUCUUCUUGUGAAGCUCCCAUCACCGAUCAUGUCCAGGUACCCAGAUUUACUGCACUUUCCUCAAGUCCCAAUUCGAGUUCGCUCAGUAGCCUCUGUCAGAACGCUCCCCUUGGUACUAGGCACACGCAGUUCCGCUAACACAGCUCGUACGGUGACCCUAUUCGCUGAACUGCUUUGAGAAAUGUACUAAACUAAAACUGGCACAUAAAUGUGAGAGGAGGUAUUGCUGCCACUCUCUCCCGGGUGGCCUUGAUCUGUGACCUUCCCUUUCUCAUCUCUGCCUCAGGCAGAUCGCCCCCUGCACCUCUCAGAAAGUGUUUGCAUUUUAAGCCCACCUCCCUUAAAAUCUUAAACAUAUCUUUUCUUUAUUUUAAGAACAAAAUAAUACAUUUAGGAACAUGUCAAUUUAACUUGGAGUCUUAAAAUAAGUGCAAAAUUGUGAGGUUGUCACGGUCGUGUUUAUUAAGUAGAAUUUGGCGUUCUUGUUCCAUGGUAUUAAUAAAGGACGAGCGAAAUACUUUGUAUUUCCUUAAGAUGCAGUUUGCAAAGAGAUUUUCUUCUUUGGUCCUUAAGUAUCUCUAUGAAGAUGAGGCAAGUUGGUCUUCUACAGAAGAGGACCCAGGCUCCGAGGGGGCAAAGGACUUGGGUGGUGCUGCAGCUGAUAUGGAGACCGGAGGUCCUUAGAGCUCAGAUCUGUGCCCUGUGACUGUAUCACAUACUAGAUUUAUCUCCCUUUUAUCCAGAGGGGUCCUGUCUUCUCCUGUGGUUCAUGUGCUGCAAUGAAAGAAAACCUCAUUUUCCAUGUAGUUCUGUCCCAAGUAGAUCCUGGAAAAGGAUCUGGGGUGUAUCCAAGGCGGCCCUUGAGAUAAACUUAACCU